rnacentral:rRNA from 1 species
AGAGUUUGAUCCUGGCUCAGAACGAACGCUGGCGGCGUGGAUAAGACAUGCAAGUCGAGCGGGAUUUUCUUUGGUAGCAAUACCGAGGAAAAUUCAGCGGGGAACGGGUGCGUAACACGUGGGCAAUUUGCCUUAAAGUGUGGGAUAGCUCGGCGAAAGCCGAAUUAAUACCGCAUGUGAUUAGCGAAGACAUCUUCGCGACAUUAAAGGUGGCGCAAGCUACCGCUUUUUGAGGAGCCCGCGGCCUAUCAGCUUGUUGGUGAGGUAACGGCUCACCAAGGCGUUGACGGGUAGCUGGUCUGAGAGGACGACCAGCCACACUGGGACUGAGACACGGCCCAGACACCUACGGGUGGCAGCAGUCGAGAAUUUUUGACAAUGGGGGAAACCCUGAUCGAGCGACGCCGCGUGGAGGAUGAAGGUCUUCGGGUUGUAAACUCCUGUCAUUUGGGAACAAGGCGCGUGUAUUAACUGUGCACGCGUUGAUAGUACCAGAAGAGGAAGAGACGGCUAACUCUGUGCCAGCCGCCGCGGUAAUAC